CCGAGCCAACCCAAGGGUGCUCCCCCGCACCAGAAAUCCCCACGCCUGCUUUCCCUUUAUCAUAUCUAGCAGUUUUUUCUUUUCUAAUUUGGAGAUCGUGGGGAGCAGCCUCCGAUUGCCGGUUUUGCCCAGCUCACCACCCCAACGCUGCACGCGCCGCCACCUCCGUCGUAGGAGCCCAAUGUCCCGCCGCCGAGGGCCCUCCUGGCGCCGUCUCCCUCCCCAUCCCCUCACCCUCUCAGCUCGCCGUCGCUAAUGGCCACGACCACGGUCUUGAGGGCUCAGAUGGGCACGGACAGUUACUGUAGGGUUUGGCACCGGUGAGCUCGCCGCACCUGGGCCAGCCAUCCUACCCGCACCUUGCCAUCAUCAUCAGCCUCCCGUGCUCGCCCGCGACUCAUCGUCAACUCCCGUCACAAACUCCCGGAGAAAGUUUCAACUCGCCCGGCGAUGCUGUUGCCGUGUCAGCUCACCACCACCGCCUCCCUGCGUGUGCUCCUCCAACACUGCUGGCAGGAUCCAGGAUGUGUUCCCUGCAAGUGUUCGAUUGUUGGCGCAGGUCACGGCCAGGAGCUCCUCUUCAAUUGCAGCAAGGUGAGUUUGUGAAUGUCGUGCAAGGAUCAAGAUUCACGUCAACAAAAAGUAUUAUUCCUGUUUAGUUUAGCUCAUUGUGUGUACAUUGGUAUUGAUUUCCUCUACUUCUACGUGCAGAUUUUUAAUUAAAUAAAUCCUCCUAAAACUUAACCUUACAAAAUGAAUUAUUGUAUCCUUAUUCUGUAAAUGUGUUCAUGAAUCCUGUUUAGCUGAUUUUUUUUAUUUAUUGUAAUUUAGGACAUGGCGAGUAGCUUAGCUGAAGUAGGAUUUCACUAGGCGAUAGAAUUAGAAGGAUCCAUCGCCCAUCAGCCUGCCGCCAGUGACGUGUAUAUGCUUAAGCCUUCAAGCAACUCUCAGCUGCAGUACAUAGGAUACUUGUUGCUGGAAUGACCCAUCCAUUGCUGCCCCGGUGCUACCCACAUGCUUGUCUUGGAUUUUACACAAUGGUGAAACUGUGCUCCCUUUGCUUAAUUUGUAAUUUGUUCAACUACAGAAUUAUAACAAAGCGUACAUAUUUGCCAAUCUUGAAGACUUGAAUUUUUUUCCUGCUGUAUAUUGAUUGAUGCUUUAGUGAUCUUGUUAAUUACCAACAAUGGUUAUUUAAUACAAAUUUUAGCUCCUAAUCUUCAUUGCUGAGGCUGAUUCUUUCAUGGAAAAUUCAGCUUCAGGGUAUUCCAUUACUGGUUAAUGCACUGUAUCUACGUUUGUAAUGAUGGAAUUUUACACCUUACUCAGGAUUGAUGUGAUCUCAUUAUAGAAUGUUGUAAUGAUCUGGAUGAGUUAUUCAGAUUUGAUAAGGUUCAAAUGAGGCUAUUGUUGUGGAUUAGUAUUGGAAUUUUUACAUCAAUUUAGUAGUAACUUGUUAUUUGUCUUCACAGGACAUUAUUUAUGAUUAUACUAUAUGGUGGGGUUAGACCCUGUCUACAUAAAUAGAAUUCAGGGUUCUUGCUUGCGGCACUACCUAAAUCUAAAUGAUUUUUGCAAUUAUAAUAUGCUUGGGUUUUUUGCUCUUUAUUUAGAGCACACACUUCUUUCAUUUCAGUAUUGAUCAAUUUUAUGCUAAAAUCCCAUAGCAAACUGAACCAUGCAAUGGUCUUCGUGCAGCGCAACUUUAGUUACGAGAUUGAAUAACAAUGGAUACCAGAUAACUAAGGGAAAGGUCAUUUAAAACCACAUUUAUAUUUCUUAGUGAGAAAAUUGGAUUCUAUCCUAUCUAAAGAUAAUAGUUGCAAAAUUUAGUAAUUAGACAUAGUUGUACUACUGGGAAUACCAUCUUCUAAAUUUAAAUCCCCAAAAUAGGAGGGCAUAGUAUGAUAGUAAUGUUAGUAGUGUUUAGUAAUUGGUGGAUCAAGAUCAAUGAUAUAAUCACUAUGCCAUUGACGAGGCUAGGAGGGGUCUGAACUCGCUAAUCAUCCUUGGGGCAUGGAUUUGGAAACAUUGAAAAGGCUGUGUUUUUUAAUGGGGUUCGCCAUGAUGUGCUUCAUAUUCACAAUUUGCUAGAGAGGAAGCAAACCUCUAGGUUUGUCUUGUGCUAGGGCAUUAGCACAGCUUGACAUGAAUUCAUUGUAGUAGACGGCAGGUUCAGUUAGUCUUUUUGUUCUUACAGGGGUGCGUUUGUAACUUUGAGAGUUUGCAGUGUAUUGUAUUUCUAGGACUUUCAACCCCUUAAUGCACUGAUGCAAAGCUCCUGCAUAUUCACAAAACAAUUUAAAUCACUACAAUAUUCUUUUUCAACCUAUACUUAUUCACUGCGUUUAAAUCACUGCAUUUUCAUACUUCAUGCCAGUGCUAAAUCAUUUUGGAAGAAAUAGAAUUAGUGCAUUUCCUUGUUUACACUGCUGUGAGUUUAUUUUUCCCUCAACACUUAAUUUCCCUCAACCAUGUCAUAUGAUGUAAUUGUUUUUUUCUCUGUGUGUGUAUGAAAGUUUGGCCACACAGCAAUUCCCUUUGGGAGUGGAUUUAAUUUAGCCUUCCUGUUUUUUUCUUUAAAAGCUAUUUACAAAAAAGUCAUACUGCACAAGAUGUUGUACUGUCGCAUAUAUUAACCUUGUUUGUAAAAUCUUGCUUGCUUGAUGUAGCCUAUAGGUGUUAAAAUAAGUUCUACAGGUGAAUUUUAAGCUGUAGUACUAUUUAAAUUUUACAAUUAAUUGUCAUAUGUUCCCAUUGCAGCAAAGAGAAUGCUUGAAGGGCAAAUGGUCUGCACUUCUUCAUGCUUCUCUUGAAUAUUUGUUUCAACAACAUAGUGUUGUUCUUAUCAGAGGAGGUUUUAUUUCUCACAGGCAAUUUGUUUAAAAAUAUUCAUGCUUUUUUAUAGUUCACUAGUUGCACAAAUUACAAAGAUAUUUGCGAUGAUAUAUUCUGUGUUUGGAAACUAAUUCGUUGUGAGAUUUCCAUGAAUGAUGCCACUUGGUAUAUUCCUAAUAUUUUGGUUCUAAUGAUAGGUUUCCUACUUUUAUUACCCUGUACAUAAUUAGCUCAAAAUAUGUUCCAAGACUGCCUUAGCAGAAGUUUGCACCAUUAGCUCAAUCUUUUUUUCUUCCAUAUUUAGGAACCUCCAACAAAGUCUAGCCUCUCCACAUUUGAAAAAAAGGUGUCCUGGAUCUUCAUCAAAUCCCCAGCAAACUGGGCAUCGAGUAUCAAGUACCACUCCCUUUCUAGGAAUAUUCAUUAUGACUUGUAGUGAGUUAUGGGCCAUUAGGCAAGCAAACAUCUUAACCUUAUUUGCAACAUACAGUUUCCAAAUUUUGACCAAUCAAAGCCACCAUAAUCAGCACAAGUGAUCAAGUGAAACUAUUACAUUUUUAGCUGCCACUCUUUUUGCAUCUUUACUAAUUGCCGAAUAAAUACUAAAAUUUAUCUCCUAGGCGCCCACCACAUUAGUAUGUUCAUUGCAGGCAUGUUGUUUCUAAGACCAAGAUUUAAACCUGUCCUGUCCACCUAUGCCAGGAACAAGCAGAAAGAUAGCAGUACCGGAGUGUGGAACUGGUGUCCCUUAGCUUAUACCUCCAUGGCUCUAAAGUUAAGUAUUUUGUGAUUUCUCUGGGAAGCCAUUUUAUUGUAUACUAUGGAGGUAUCUCUGCUAUUUUGGUUCUCAAGUGUCCAAGCAUUACCAACUAUAUAUGUUAGGCAAAACAUAUUAGUUGCAGACAGUCCGAUAAACAAUUGAUUACUUAACCAAUUAGCUAUCACCAUAAAUAUUCAUUUCUAGAAAUAGAUAUUAGGAUUGUUCCAGAUAACAGGUGGUCAUAGCCUCAUAGGAAUCCUAGCCUUCUACGCAGCAAUAAAAAAUAUUAUUUAGAAACACAUUCUACAAUAUGAUUCAUUAACAAAAAUAUUAACUGAGUGGUUUCACUUAUUCAGCUGAUUUCGAGACACAAGAAUUAAUACUAUGAUUAAUUUAUGACAUCAUAAGUGACAGCUGUGAUAUAGUCUUCAUAUGGAUUAUGUAGUCAAGAUGAAAUAUGCUAAUGCAUGUUCAAAUUAGUGCUCAUGAAUGAAGAUCCACUUGCAAACUUCCUUAUGAUUUCUUAAGCAUUUUUAGUUAUACCUAUCCACUCAAUGUGUACAGUAACAUCCAAGCUUGCUCUGAUGGACCGACAAAGUUGGGCUCAGAAUAGUCCAUGCAUUUUUCUCAGUAUUCAUAGGUCAUAUCUUUACUUCAAAAUCAUAUUUCUUUAGAUGUUCAGUUAUACAUGAUUGGGCAUGCCACCGGGAAGAGUACAAAAUGAGUUGUUAGUUAUUGCACUUUAAGGGUCAGUUAAAAAUAAACGCAUAGAGCUGUUGGUGGCGCCUCCUAGCUUGUUGCUUUUAUUUGCUAGAUUUCAUACUUCCUUUUUUUCCCAUUCAAAAGUUUUGAUUCAUACAUCCAAUUAUUUAAGAAAACAAAAUUCAGAGGGAAUCCGUAUGCAUGGUUUACAAUUAAUCGUAAAGUUCUUUUUUAAUGUUUUAUUUUGUUUCGCUUCUUUUGACAGGUGAAGCAAUUAGCAGCCAUUAGAGAUGCGAGAGAAUCAAGGGAUGUAUUAGUUUUUUUUCUUUUAUUAAAAGUAAUUUAAUUUGUCUGAUUUGCUGAAACCUUAAUAUUUAUGAUCCCAAUGAAGAUGAUUUAGCAUAUUGUAUAUGAUUUAGUGGAAUAAUAACUCAAGACAGAGCCAACUAUGUUUAUUCAAACUACAAAGUGUAUUGAAAUUUUCUUUGACGAUUUAUUUACCUGAAAAUUUAUGUUAUUAGCAAAAAAAAGGUGUAUUGUAAUCUUCA